rnacentral:rRNA from 1 species
ACGCUCGACACCUACGGGAGGCCGCAGUGGGGAAUAUUGCACAAUGGGGGAAACCCUGAUGCAGCAACGCCGCGUGAGUGAAGAAGUAUUUCGGUAUGUAAAGCUCUAUCAGCAGGGAAGAUAAUGACGGUACCUGACUAAGAAGCUCCGGCUAAAUACGUGCCAGCAGCCGCGGUAAUCUGAGCGGGCUGGCAAGGC